CCUACGGGAGGCACCAGUGGGGAAUAUUGCACAAUGGGCGCAAGCCUGAUGCAGCCAUACCGCGUGUAUGAAGAAGGCCUUCGGGUUGUAAGGUACUUUCAGCGGGGAGGAAGGUGUUGUGGUUAAUAACCACAGCAAUUGACGUUACCCGCAGAAGAAGCACCGGCUGACUCCGUGCCAGCAGCCGCGGUAAUACGGAGAGUGCAAGCGUUAAUCGGAAUUACUGGGCGUAAAGCGCACGCAGGCGGUCUGUCAAGUCGGAUGUGAAAUCCCCGGGCUCAACCUGGGAACUGCAUUCGAAACUGGCAGGCUAGAGUCUUGUAGAGGGGGGUAGAAUUCCAGGUGUAGCGGUGAAAUGCGUAGAGAUCUGGAGGAAUACCGGUGGCAAAGGCGGCCCCCUGGACAAAGACUGACGCUCAGGUGCGAAAGCGUGGGGAGCAAACAGGAUUAGAUACCCGUGUAGUC
rnacentral:rRNA from 1 species